rnacentral:rRNA from 1 species
GACGAACGCUGGCGGCGUGCUUAACACAUGCAAGUCGAACGGAAAGGCGCGGCUUUUGUGGGGUGCUCGAUUGGCGAAGGGGGGAGUAACACGUGAGGAACCUGCCCUUGUCUUUGUGGUAACAUCAGGGAACUGGGGCUAAUACCGGGUAUGAGCUCCUGCUGCAUGGGGGGGGUUGGAAAGAGACGGCGGUGGGGGAUGGACUCGCGGCUUAUCAGCUUGUUGGUGGGGUAGUGGAGUACCAAGGCUUUGACGGGUAGCCGGCCUGAGAGGGUGACCGGCCACAUUGCGCCUGCGAUACGGAGCAGUCUCCUAUGGGAGGCAGCAGUGGGGAGUAUUGCGCAAUGGGCGGAAGCCUGAUGCAGCAACGCCGCGUGCGUGAUGAUGGCCUUCGGGUUAUAAACCGCUUUCGCAUGUGCCGAAGCGUGAGUGACGGUAAUGGGUAAAGAAGCCCCGGCUAACUACGUG